GUGCCAGCAGCCGCGGUAAAACCAGCACCUCAAGUGGUCAGGAGGAUUAUUGGGCCUAAAGCAUCCGUAGCCUGCUGUAUAAGUUCUCGGUUAAAUCCAUACGCUCAACGUAUGGGCUGCCGGGAAUACUGUACAGCUAGGGAGUGGGAGAGGUAGACGGUACUCGGUAGGAAGGGGUAAAAUCCUUUGAUCUAUUGAUGACCACCUGUGGCGAAGGCGGUCUACCAGAACACGUUCGACGGUGAGGGAUGAAAGCUGGGGGAGCAAACCGGAUUAGAUACCCGGGUAGUCCCAGCUGUAAACUAUGCAAACUAAGUGAUGCGUUGGCUUGUGGCCAGCGCAGUGCCUCAGGGAAGCCGUUAAGUUUGCCGCCUGGGAAGUACGUACGCAAGUAUGAAACUCAAAUGAAUUGACGG
rnacentral:rRNA from 1 species